UACAGAGGUCCCAAGCGUUGUUCGGAUUCACUGGGCGUAAAGGGUGCGUAGGCGGUAAAGCAAGUCCGAUGUGAAAUCUCCGAGCUUAACUCGGAAACGGCACUGGAAACUGCUUUGCUAGAGGAUUGGAGGGGGGACUGGAAUUCUCGGUGUAGCAGUGAAAUGCGUAGAUAUCGAGAGGAACACCAGUGGCGAAGGCGAGUCCCUAGACAAUUCCUGACGCUGAGGCACGAAAGCUAGGGGAGCAAACAGG
rnacentral:rRNA from 1 species